AGCACCAAUUGAUACAUUUGCAUAGAUGUAGACUAGAUGGCUUCACGUUUUCGUUUGAAGUUUUUUCAUUUAGAAAAAAGAAUGUCUCAAUAAUAGCAUAGACCUAUAUCCUACGUGCGUAAUUGCUUAAAGCAAAGAGUCCAACCCAGUCUUUUUGUCUACCUAGAAAAGGAGUGUAAUAGGUAAGAAGUGAAUUUGCCCGUACUGGUUUUCUCUUCGCCCUAGGGCAGCGCUCAGCGCAUUACAUUUCACAUUCCUGCUUCAUCUUCUCAUACGCGGGACAGAUGGCUGUUGGCGUAGGCUAUGUGCUUAUAAAGACCGGGGUCCGGCACGCCGCAUCACCGCCACUGUCAAGCUCCACCGGACGAAUACGGACACCUAUAACUCAAAACGCGUGGAAAAGGAGCACAUCAACACAGAUGACCACACUCACUCGAAAUGAAGCAGAGACGGAUGUACAGGACCCUCCACACCACAGAGAGGAGAGGGGGAGCCCAACAAAGAUGGAGUCAACAAAUGGAGGAGGGGAGAAGGUACGCAAACAAUGAGAAGUUCAGGGGUCUUUUCACUGCUAGUCGGGCCUUGAGACAAAGAAAGAGAAGUGGGUGAGAAGAAACCAGGGGCUAAUGUUGACAGGAAACUGACACCACAUGAAGAGGGAUAUUAAAACACACACUGCUACUCUCUCUCUCUCUCUCUCUCUCUCUCUCUCUCUCUCUCUCACACACACACACACACACGCUUGCACAUGCACACAUACACUUACACACGUUUACACACACAGGCAGUGCAGACCUCACAAGGAGAGGUCAGCACUUUCUAUGUGUAAACAGUCAUUCACAGCAUCUGAAGAGAGGCUAAUUGUGUUGACCUAGUGGCUAAUUGGCAGGGUGCUAACCAGUAGACCCUCCACAGGGGCCUCAGCGAGCGAGGGAGUGAAUGAUUCCUGUGUUCCUCAGCCCAGCAAUAGACUGAAUGGGCUGGACUGAGUAUUCUGUCAACACACACACACACACGUGCAGUUACUCUCUCCUUCCCUUACACACACACACAAACACGAGGGUGUGUGCACACAUGCAUGUACGAGCCUGGCUCUUUCAGGAGUUCAGUGUACACAAACAUCUACACACACACAUACACACAAGCACACAAGGCUGCUUGAAGUGGUUAAAUGAACAGUACACACAGAACCUCACUGACAGUUAUGGGCAGUUAGCCGGGUCCCCUAAUGCUUUUAGCUAGAUGUCACGUCAAGUAGGAGAAACAGUGAAACAGAGUAUGAAUGACAGAAUGUCAGGUCAAUGGAGAUUCUGUCUGACAAAUAAAAAUACUUCGUUUUAAUAGAUAGCCCACGCAAACACCAAAAUGUUCUCGCUGUACUUUAUUUAUUGAAUAAUUUGAUCAUUCUGUAUAUACAUACAGAUAUAUACUGUAUAUAUAUAAAUAUAAGUAUGGUGCCUUGCAUAAGUAUUCACCCCCUUGGACUUUUCUACAUUUUGUCAUAGUAUAUCCACAGAUUCCAAUAUAUUUAAUUGUGAUUUUAUGUAACGGACCAACACAAAAUAGUCCAUCAUUUUGAAGUGGUGGAAAUAUUACAUGGAUAAAAAAAAAAGCACAAACAAAAACAAAUCAGAAAGGUUGGAUAUGUAGUGCAUAUGUAUUCAACCCUUUUACUGUGAAACCCCUAACAAAGAUCUGGGGCCACCAAUUGCCACACAAGUCACAUUCGCUAGUCCCAGGUGGAAACCCAAGACUGCCCAUCACCCUGAGCACACCAUCUCAUCUUCAGCAGGUACUGCGAAACUGGUCAGAAUUGAUGGAAAGAUAGAGGGAGCCAAAUACAGGGCAAUCUUUGAAGAAAAUCUGAUGCAGUCUGCAAAAGACUUGAGACUGGGACGGAGGUGCAUCUUUCAGCAUGACAAUGACCCUAAACAUACAGCCAGAGUUACAAUGGAAUGGUUUAGAUCAAAGCAUGUUUAUGUCCUACAAUGGCCCAGUCAAAGCUCAGACCUAAAUCCAAUUGAGAAUCUUUGGCAAGACUUGAGAAAAUUGCUGUCUCCAUCCAAUUUGACUGAGUUUAAGAUUUUUUGCCAAGAAGAAUGGACAAACAUACAUUUCCAUCUCUAGAUGUGCAAAGCUUGUUGAGACAUACCCACCCCCAAAAGAUUUGCAGCAAAAGGUGCUUCUACAAAGUAUUGACUGAGGGGGCGGGGCGGGGGGGGGGGG